AUUGAACGCUGGCGGAAUGCUUUACACAUGCAAGUCGAACGGUAGAGGGGGCAACCCCUUGAGAGUGGCGAACGGGUGAGUAAUAUAUCGGAACGUGCCCAGUCGUGGGGAUAACGUAGCGAAAGUUACGCUAAUACCGCAUACGAUCUAAGGAUGAAAGCGGGGGAUCGCAAGACCUCGCGCGAUUGGAGCGGCCGAUAUCAGAUUAGGUAGUUGGUGAGGUAAAGGCUCACCAAGCCGACGAUCUGUAGCUGGUCUGAGAGGACGACCAGCCACACUGGGACUGAGACACGGCCCAGACUCCUACGGGAGGCAGCAGUGGGGAAUUUUGGACAAUGGGCGCAAGCCUGAUCCAGCAAUGCCGCGUGCAGGAUGAAGGGCCUUCGGGUUGUAAACGUUAGCUUUUGUUACGGUAACGAAACCGGGUAGGAAGGCUCUAAU
rnacentral:rRNA from 1 species